AUUAUAUGUUGUACAAAUGAAAUCUAGUUUUAGAUCCAAUGUCUUUCUAAAAAAAAAGAAAGUACACCAGCAUUUCCGCAAUUAAUAUACUUUAAUAUAACAAAUGUAAAAUUGUACUUACAGGCUUUAAGUCUAUGAAUGCUGACCAGUCUGGGCUUCCCUGUUUAAGCUGCUGCCCCGAUGACCCGACCUCGGAUAAGUGGAACUUAUCCUCACCAGGGUCACGGGCUGCUGGAGCCUAUCCCAGCUAUCUUUGGCCGGGAGGCGGGGUACGCCCUGAACCGGUCGCCAGCCAAUCGCAGGGCACAUACAAACAAACAACCAUUCGCACUCUAAUUUACAGCUAUGGGCAAUUUCGAGUCUUCAAUCAACUGACCACGCAUGUUUUUGGGAUGUGGGAGGAAACCGGAGCACCCGGAGAAAACCCACCCAGGCAUGGGGAGAACAUGCAAACUCCGCACAGGCGAGAACGGGAUUUGAACCCAGGUCCCCAGAACUGUGAGGCAGAUGUGCUAAGCAGUCGGUCAACAUGCCAGCUAUGUAAUUAUUAUUGUAGUAAAUAUUUCAGUCGACAAAUAAAGGUUUUAAACAAUUUUUUUUUU